rnacentral:lncRNA from 1 species
CGCCCUCUCCAGGAAGUGGAACUGUAGAAUAUGUUGGAUGGAAUCUUUUGGCUUUGCUUCUCUAGCUGUCUACACUUCUGUCAGCACAUUUUAUAUUGAGCUCUGUGGUUUACCUUGCAAACCAGUACAUGGUAUUUAUGGGUAUGAGCCAGUUGCAGCAAAAGCAGAGGGCAUGUACUUGAUCUUCAUUUACUGUGAGGUAUUCUCUCUUGUUUCAGGUGAUAGUCUGGACAGUAGAGUGCCCUGUGUGCAGAGCUUCCUGUUCAGCAUGGGUGGGAGAACCCAGCUUGGUAGAACUGGACACCCUGGCUUGCCCAUGAAUAACUCAACGAUGAGCACAGGCUGGAAUGCAGUGGCAGGAUCUUGGCUCAUUGUAACCUCUGCCCUCAAGCUCCAACAGCACUCCCACCUCAGCUUCCCAAGUAGUUGGGACCACAGGUACCCAUCAUCAUGCCUAUUUUUUUUGUAUUUUUAGUGGAGAGAGGGCCUUGCCAUGUUGCCCAGGCUGGUCUCAAAUUCCUAAGCUCAACAAUCUGCU